rnacentral:rRNA from 1 species
UACGUAGGCAGCAAGCGUUGUUCGGAAUUACUGGGCGUAAAGAGUGUGUAGGCGGUGUUCUAAGUCUGUCGUGAAAUCUCCCGGCUUAACUGGGAGGGUGCGGCGGAAACUGGAGUGCUAGAGGGUGGGAGAGGAAAGCGGAAUUCCUGGUGUAGCGGUGAAAUGCGUAGAUAUCAGGAGGAACACCUGCGGUGUAGACAGCUUUCUGGACCACUUCUGACGCUGAGACACGAAAGCGUGGGUAGCAAACAGG